rnacentral:lncRNA from 1 species
GAACCACUUCUUUUCUUGACUACUGUGGAAGCCGAGGGCCAGAGGGCUUACGUGAAUUCCUCCAGCAGAUUACUCGUCAGACAGCAGGUCGGGGUCCUACUAACCUGGUGAAGCAUCCUUCCCUUCUUACCCCCUUACGUCAUGCUCUGGGAAUGGCAGUGUCCAGAGGCAGGGACCACUGAGUCUGAGUUACCAUCUCUCUAGGACCCAGCAAAGUGUGUGGCAUGCAGAAGACUCCUAUCAAUGGGUUUUAAAUGAAUAUGUGAUCUAAAUUCUUACCUUCUUCUAGAAGUUUGAAGAGUGAUGUUUCUGAAAUUCUUCAAGAGACUUAUAACUACACCCCAAAUCAGCAUACUUCAUACCAUCUCUGCCCCACGGGAUGCAGAUCCACGAAUGCCACUGUCCCCCCACAGCCCCGCAAGAUGCCUCUGAGGAUAACCAGUUGUUGGAUGGUCCAGGCUGCCAGUCCAUCUGCCCCUGAGGGGCAGGUCAGCAGUCUCGCCAAGCCUUCGAGAACUCUGUUCUUCUCAUUGGGUGGGACUGGCAGCGUUUGAGCCUGUGGUAGGUAUCCAGACUCUAGGAAAGUCUUUCUCACACAGGCCUGGGCGGGGCUUCAUGG